rnacentral:rRNA from 1 species
UACGUGGGGGGCAAGCGUUGUUCGGAAUUACUGGGCGUAAAGGGCUCGUAGGCGGCCAACUCAGUCGGACGUGAAAUCCCUCGGCUUAACCGGGGAAUGGCGUCCGAUACUGGAUGGCUUGAGUUUGGGAGAGGGAUGCGGAAUUCCAGGUGUAGCGGUGAAAUGCGUAGAUAUCUGGAGGAACACCGGUGGCGAAGGCGGCAUCCUGGACCAACACUGACGCUGAGGAGCGAAAGCCAGGGGAGCAAACGGG